rnacentral:rRNA from 1 species
AUACGGAGGGUGCAAGCGUUACUCGGAAUCACUGGGCGUAAAGCGCGCGCAGGCGGCUUGAUAAGUUGGAUGUGAAAGCCUACGGCUCAACCGUAGAACUGCAUCCAAAACUGUCAGGCUAGAGUGUGGGAGAGGAAGAUGGAAUUAGUUGUGUAGGGGUAAAAUCCGUAGAGAUAACUAGGAAUACCAAAAGCGAAGGCAAUCUUCUGGAACACUACUGACGCUGAGGCGCGAAGGCGUGGGGAGCAAACAGGAUUAGAUACCCGGGUAGUCC